rnacentral:rRNA from 1 species
GUGGGGAAUAUUGGACAAUGGGCGAAAGCCUGAUCCAGCCAUGCCGCGUGUGUGAAGAAGGUCUUCGGAUUGUAAAGCACUUUAAGUUGGGAGGAAGGGCAGUAAGUUAAUACCUUGCUGUUUUGACGUUACCAACAGAAUAAGCACCGGCUAACUUCGUGCCAGCAGCCGCGGUAAUACGAAGGGUGCAAGCGUUAAUCGGAAUUACUGGGCGUAAAGCGCGCGUAGGUGGUUUUGUAAGUUGGAGGUGAAAUCCCCGGGCUCAACCUGGGAAGUGCCUCCAAAACUGCAUGACUAGAGUACGGUAGAGGGUAGUGGAAUUUCCUGUGUAGCGGUGAAAUGCGUAGAUAUAGGAAGGAACACCAGUGGCGAAGGCGACUACCUGGACUGAUACUGACACUGAGGUGCGAAAGCGUGGGGAGCAAACAGGAUUAGAUACCCUUGUAGUCC